AUUGAACGCUGGCGGCAUGCCUUACACAUGCAAGUCGAACGGCAGCAUGGAGGAGCUUGCUCCUCUGAUGGCGAGUGGCGAACGGGUGAGUAAAGCAUCGGAACGUACCGUGUAGUGGGGGAUAACGUAGCGAAAGUUACGCUAAUACCGCAUACGCACUGAGGUGGAAAGCAGGGGAUCGCAAGACCUUGCGCUAUACGAGCGGCCGCUGUCAGAUUAGCUAGUUGGUAGGGUAAAGGCCUACCAAGGCGACGAUCUGUAGCGGGUCUGAGAGGAUGAUCCGCCACACUGGGACUGAGACACGGCCCAGACUCCUACGGGAGGCAGCAGUGGGGAAUUUUGGACAAUGGGGGAAACC
rnacentral:rRNA from 1 species